CCUACGGGAGGCUGCAGUAGGGAAUCUUGCUCAAUGGGGGAAACCCUGAAGCAGCAACGCCGCGUGGAGGAUGAAGGUCUUCGGAUCGUAAACUUCUUUUGUUAGAGAAGAUAAUGACGGUAUCUAACGAAUAAGCACCGGCUAACUCCGUGCCAGCAGCCGCGGUAAUACUGAGGGUGCAAGCGUUACUCGGAAUCACUGGGCGUAAAGAGCGCGUAGGCGGGAUAGCAAGUCAGAUGUGAAAUCCUAUGGCUUAACCAUAGAACGGCAUUUGAAACUGUUAUUCUAGAGUAUGGGAGAGGUAAGUGGAAUUCUUGGUGUAGCGGUAAAAUCCGUAGAGAUAAAGAGGAAUACUCAUUGCGAAGGCGACCUGCUAGAACAUAACUGACGCUGAUGCGCGAAAGCGUGGGGAGCAAACAGGAUUAGAUACCCCAGUAGUC
rnacentral:rRNA from 1 species